GAGGCAGCAGUGGGGAAUUUUCCGCAAUGGGCGAAAGCCUGACGGAGCAACGCCGCGUGAGGGAUGAAGGCCUCUGGGCUGUAAACCUCUUUUAUCAAGGAAGAAGAUCUGACGGUACUUGAUGAAUAAGCCACGGCUAAUUCCGUGCCAGCAGCCGCGGUAAUACGGGAGUGGCAAGCGUUAUCCGGAAUUAUUGGGCGUAAAGCGUCCGCAGGCGGCCCUUCAAGUCUGCUGUUAAAAAGUGGAGCUUAACUCCAUCAUGGCAGUGGAAACUGAGGGGCUUGAGUGUGGUAGGGGCAGAGGGAAUUCCCGGUGUAGCGGUGAAAUGCGUAGAUAUCGGGAAGAACACCAGUGGCGAAGGCGCUCUGCUGGGCCAUCACUGACGCUCAUGGACGAAAGCCAGGGGAGCGAAAGGGAUUAGAUACCCCUGUAGUCCUGGCCGUAAACGAUGAACACUAGGUGUCGGGGGAAUCGACCCCCUCGGUGUCGUAGCCAACGCGUUAAGUGUUCCGCCUGGGGAGUACGCACGCAAGUGUGAAACUCAAAGGAAUUGACGG
rnacentral:rRNA from 1 species